GAUGAACGCUGGCGGCGUGCCUAAUACAUGCAAGUCGAGCGAACAGACGAGGAGCUUGCUCCUCUGACGUUAGCGGCGGACGGGUGAGUAACACGUGGAUAACCUACCUCUCAGACUGGGAUAACUUCGGGAAACCGGAGCUAAUACCGGAUAAUAUAUUGAACCGCAUGGUUCAAUAGUGAAAGACGGUUUUGCUGUCACUUAUAGAUGGAUCCGCGCCGCAUUAGCUAGUUGGUAAGGUAACGGCUUACCAAGGCAACGAUGCGUAGCCGACCUGAGAGGGGGAUCGGCCACACUGGAACUGAGACACGGUCCAGACUCCUACGGGAGGCAGCAGUAGGGAAUCUUCCGCAAUGGGCGAAAGCCUGACGGAGCAACGCCGCGUGAGUGAUGAUGGUCUUCGGAUCGUAAAACUCUGUUAUUAGGGAAGAACAAAUGUGUAAGUAACUAUGCACGUCUUGACGGUACCUAAUCAGAAAGCCACGGCUAACUACGUG
rnacentral:rRNA from 1 species